CUGCCGAAGCAGAGCGUGCCAACCUAACCACUUGGCCAUGGGGCCGGCCCUGGAUUUUUUCUUUUUUGAGGAGAGUGGUUUUCACCAAGUUGAAAGGUUGUAUUGCAUUGAUUACUAGUGAGAGUCAUCAUUUUUUAAUUUCUAUGAUAUUUGAUAGGGGAAAUAUGUUUGGUGUAUGUUUGAAUAUGUUUGAUAGUUUCUUUUGCUCAUUUCUUCUCCAUUCAGGUGAUUAUCUUAUUUUUAUCUUCUUGUUUUUUAAUUUUUAAGAAUUCUCUAUAUAAAGGAUAUCAAUCCCACAUCCACCACACAUUUUUCACAAUUUUUUUUUAUCGUUUGUCUUAAUUUUUUGACUCACAAAUAUCUUAAACUCAAAUACAGUCAAACAUCUGUAUUUUCCUCUGCAUUUUGUCUCUUUGGCAAUUUACUAAUUUAUAAUUCAACAAGCAGUUUGUGAGUAAUAAAUAAUAAUACAUAAAUGGAAUCGUGAGCAAUUUCCAUUCCCAGAUGGCACAAAUGUUGUUUUUCCUUAUUCUUUUACACUUUCACUUUUGGCAUUUCAAUCGUUAAUACACGUGCAUUUAUUGUGUUAUGUCAUGAGAUAAGAAUUUAAUUUAUUUCAAAGUGGUUAACUGUUGAGUCCAAUGCAGUCUUUCCUCACUUUUAUGCAAAUCCAUCUUAAUCCCAUACCAAAUAAUUAUCCGGCAAGGAAGCCUCCCGUUUGGCAGCCAAGCACAGGGGCUAUUUAGAUUAAUGAUGGUAUCCGGGGGCAGCCCAGUGAGGUGUCUGCAGGGAGAGCUGUCUAUGAACUUACAUCCAGAAGUGAUUCAACAGUUUUGAGAAUAUUUUGAUAAAGGAGCAACUAGGGGAAAUCAAGAUUUUGCCUAGGAAUCUAUCUUAUAAAAUAUUCAGCAACAGUUGACUAUGAAAGAAAAUGGCGAGCUAAGCUAGCUCAUCUGAGGCCUGCCUCAUGCAGGCUGUUGUCUUUGCCGUCUGUGGCCUGAAGGUACAUCUCCUUGGGGCUCUGACACCCACCUGGUGCUGCGGAAUCCCCCUGCUGCUGGCCCUGGCUCUCUGUGCUGUUCACAUAAGUAUGAGCAUGUUCUUUAUCUUGAAGUGAUCAUUUAUUUCCACUGGAAGUCUGUGUCUCAGUGCUUUCCCUGUCCACCACAAUUCAUCACACACACGAUCCCAUGCUGCUUAUUCUGUCUUGUUGGUACCACUCUCACACUGUUUUAAUCAUGAAUUUUUUAUUUUACCUUUAAAUAUCUAAAUAUGUAGCAGCACAAGUGUCCAUCUGUAUUUUUACACGUAUGUGUAUGUACAUAUUAGUCCCAUGCAUUUAUUCUGCCAGAGGUAUUUUACUGCUAUUUUUGUGAAAUUAACAAAUCCAGAUUUUUGUUUGGAAUUACGUUUAUAGAUUAACUGGGGGGUAAUUGAAAUUUUUCCCAUUUGGGGCCAUGGUAUGUAUACCCUGUUUAUUUAAAUCCUUUAUUAUAUACCUUAGUAAGUAUAUUGUCUUCUUUACAUAGAUCCUGCACAUUUUUAAUGAUAACAUUUAUUUGUAAUUAUUUCAUAUUUUUCUUGUUAUAGUAGUUGUAAGUGCCUGAUUUGGAAAAUACUAUCAAGAAGCCAAAAAUAACUUUGGGAGGUUAUAAUUUACCAAGAAAUUGACAAAAUUUGAAAGUAACUCUCAGGGACUUUAUAAUAUUUAAAGUUUAUUUUAAAGUUCUUCAUCUUUAAAAAAAAAAAAAAACUGAUGGACUAGAAACACAUAGUUACAAAUAAACCUAGAGGGAAGGGGCUUGCUUCUGAUAGAUUUGGCAACUGGAUCAGACAAAGCGGUCCAGUUCAGAAGUGUAAGGUAACCCGUGGAUGCGCAAAUUCUGAAUGACACCAAGAGGCUUCCAGCUGUCUCUCUAAAUCCAGGUGUCUCCCCUGAUAUUUUACUUCAAGCUCCUUUUUACUUAAAUAGUUUUUACUGGCAAUAGUUCUUCAUUACACAGCUGAGUUAAAAACAAACCAGAAUAGAACACUCAAGAAAGUGUUUGCUUCCAGGCCUGCUUAAGGACCAUUCUGUAUGAUGGGCUCUGCUCCUCACUAGCUUCUUGAUCUUAACAAGCACUCCAGGUGGGCUCCUACCUGCCUGGACCAAGCAGAAACUGAAUCCCAUCUUCCAAAAGGGGAACGCUUUCCCACUCCAUGUAACAGACCUAGUCCCUUCCCAGACAUUUUACCCAAAGGAGAAGCCAGCUUCCACUUGAUCAGCCCUAAGUUGGGGUUUCCCCAGGCCAAGGUUGCAUAUGAAGAAUGGUGGAUGUUAGUCUUGGCUAUUCCCUAAAAAGACCUCUUCCUAUUCUGUGAAGAAAUCCAUAAAGAGCACUAAUGGACUAUGUAUGGAGUAAAUAGAUUUAUGGACAGGAAUCAGUUCAGGCUUACGCUAUAGGCAUUCUGCAUAGACUCUUGGUUUGGAGGGAAAUUUAAAACCGCACUGCAAUAUUAUUAUAGGACUUGGUAAAAAUCUCUGGCUGAGUAAACUGGCUUGAAUUCUGUCUCGUUGGUUACUGCUGUGGGUCUACUGUUGGAUGAAUUAUACACGUGCAUUUUCACCAUAUAGGGAUGAGAAGGAUAAUCAUUCUUUUUAUACUGAAUGAAAUUUUUGUAACGUUUAUUUUAUUAGCUUAUUAGGAAUAACCUGAUGAGAAAAUUGGCCUUUCUGGGUAAUUACUGCCAGAAAGAAUGGCAUGGAUCCAGAGUUGGCAAGCUGUGGUCUAUGGGCUAAAUCUGGCCUCCCGCCUAUUUUGGAAAUGCAGUUUUAUUGCAAUACAGCUACACUCCUAGUUUAUGUAUUGUCUGUGAUCCUUCCCUGCUAGAACAGUAGACAUGAGUAGUUGUGAGAGAGGGUGGAAGGCCUGUAAAGCCUAAAAUAUUUAAUCUCUGGCCCUUUACAAAAAGUGUUUGCCAACCCCUGGCAUAGAUCACCUUCUCGACAUUUGAAGUCAUUAUUUUUGGUUGAUAGUCCCUAAUUUUUAUCCAUUUUACACAAAAUCUCAUACAAGUUACCUUGGUCACUUUGGUUUAUCCCUGAAGGUAAUAUGACGUGGCAGUGUUCAAACCAGAAAGUCUGUGUUGAGACUUGCACUUUGCCUGGGGUGUGUAUGUGGCCAAACGUGCUCCAAAAGCUUUGCAGGCUAAAAUGGUUUUGUCCCUGCUAUGUGGGGUACAAGUGUGACACGCUCACCCACCUGAUCCCACGUGGAGUAGGUGAAAAAGAGUGGCGCUGUGGGGACAGUCUGUGGGCACAUUUUGGACUCAGGUGUGUCGUAGAAAUGAAGCAAGCACUCUUGCCAGCUUUCUUAGUUUUCAGAGGCAGACGUGAACUGCUCUCAGAUUCAUGGUCUAGUUCACACUGCAGCGUAUUUGCACUGCCCACAAUACAGUCUCCAGCUCUCUACCAUGCAAUAUUUAUCAAUAGUGUGGUUGAAAGAAACAACAUCCAGGGAGAACUAUAGGAAGGAAAUAUAGGCCGUUGACUCAUCCUGAUAUUUGAAACUAUAUCUGAACCAACGAAAUCUGCAGAGAUCAGGUAGCUCACAGCACAGGGUACCACCGCCACCAUUCGCAUUUACUGACAUUCACUCCGAUACCCUCAGUCUAUUGACGGUCAUUAUGUGAAACAGCCCUGUGAACCUCAUCAUUUAGGCUAUCUUUGUUCAUGACAUCACAUUAUCCCCUUUAGGAAAAACCCCGUGAGAAAGAAGCUUUAUUUUCAUACCAAUAGGUAUACAUCUCUUGGCUGAUGGACCCUUUUCUUCUUAUGAACACUAUAAAUUGCAUACCCGAGAAGAUCCCAUUUCUCUGGCUGGCUGUUAGAACGGCCAGAUCAAAUGUGCAGGCGGGUAAAUGACUGGGUCGUACAGUUUAGCUUAAUUCCCGCCUUUACUUUGUCCUCCACCUUUGUUUUGCUUUCUCCCCUUUUAAGUCCUCUUUUGCCUUUGUAAGGCGCUUUAAUUCCUUUGAGACAAAGUGAAAGCUAUAGGAACAACAACGAAAGUCAAACACAACAGCAACAACCAAAUCCCGCUGGCCUUCCACGUGUUAGACGUAAGAGAACCCUCCACCCCUUGUUCCAGGACUUUGCAGUGUGUUACUUUUCAAGAUGAUGAUCUAAAAACGAUACAGCCAACCCAUCUCUAACCUUUUUCCUUUUAAAAAGAAGAUUAAAAAACAAUCAGAUUAUAGCAGUAAAAACAUUCAGAAAUUAUAGAAAAACAAAUAAAAUAGAAUAAAAUUAAAACUACCUAUAAGCCCACUACCCAGAGAAUUAUCUUGUUUCUUAAAAUAUAAGAACUGAACUCAACUACGAUCCAUGAGUUCAGCCUGCCUCCUCCAGGACACUUUCUUUUAUAAUUCUGGACCAUAUUAAUCUACAGAAGGAAAAAAAAAAACUUGUCUUUCUAGAAUACUUAUUUUUUGCCACAAGUUGCCAUCUCAUGAUUUUAGGUGUUGCCAUUUCAUAAGUGAAAAGGUAGGGUCCAGUGUCUUUCUCAGGAGUUUUGGGGCCCUGUGACCAGAUGGCGUAAAUGUGACCUCAUCAUAGGUUCAAGCUAAAAGGUAUGCAUAUUCUUUUCAAAGAGUUCAAGAUUGUAGUUCUGUACAGCUCUCCACCCAGUAAAUAACUGUAUGGAGAAUACAGCAGAUAAACAUAAGCACAUUUUAAAUAAAUAUCAAAGGAUCCGUUUUCAAAGCUGACACACACGACGUUUGACCAUCAUAAUUAGUGUAAUUAGUUAGAGUCAGCCUGACACUUCAUUGGUGGCCCAACCCCAAGCUACAACUUCGACUUCUCGCUCCGGCUUCCAGCCAACGCUCGUUUCUCCUCUCUCAGGCGUAUCUAUCUCCGGAGCUCACAAGAGAGACAGCUGCCCGCUUCUGCAGUGAUCUUUCAGCAUUUUGAUUCAGCUACACUUUUAGGUGUUUUGUUAGAUUUCCUCUGCAGACUCUAUCCUCCCACAGGCAACGGGAGGACUAAAUUGCCAGAAACAAGAACAGUGAGGUGGCAGCCCUUGUGCGGCGGAGGCAAAUCCGGCCAGAGUGAGCAGGAUGCUCUUCUCCCCUCUCUAUUUUUUAAGCUCUCCAACUUCUCUGCUCAGCUCUAGGACGUGCCACACACAUGUCCAUGCCUGUUAACUCACAGGCUCUGUUGCUGGCUCCUAGAAAACUUACCAUCGGGGUUUUUUAGCUGCUCUGAGAGCGCUCAGAGUCAGUAUCCAGAAUGAGACCACUGUAAACAUCUGCUGAGAGACUGUGUUUAAACAUUGGUAAGAAGAUUCUUUAAAAAAUUCUGUUCAAGCGAAGGAUACAAAUUGUUUUAGAAGAUGGCUCUGAAAACAGGGAAUCUGAGGCAAUCUGUAAUUUCAAGGCACAUCUGGGAACUUGCUAAGGCAAAGAAGCAUCUGGAAGCCUAGAUGUAAAGUAUUAUUGCAUGCAUGCCAGCGUAGAGAGGUUCCGGUUGAAAAUACUUCAUUGGAAUGGAGAACAAAAGCGCCGUCUGAAUGAUAUGAACUAUGCCAGCAGCUAAGGAGACAGACCCUGGUUGUGAGUUUGGUGUUUUUUAAACACUCACUGUAAAAACUACAUCUCUAAGUAGACUUUCCUUCUUCAUCACUCCUCCUCUGUCUCUUCAAAGAGAAAAAAGAUAAGCUAGGAGGGAAGAGCUCAAGUCUCGCUAGUUUCUUCAUAACUACUUUCUGAAAAGCAGCCAUGACAAGAAAGAUCGGCUCAAAGUUCGUAACCAGCAACUCUCAAAUAAGCUGCAAAUAUUCUUGGAGUUAGGCUGACUUAAGCCUCAAAUCCCAGGAGGGUUUUGCCUAAGCUAAGAAUGAGGAUAAGUUGAUAUUAGGGAUUUGUGAAAAAGAUACCAAAUAAAUACUCAUUUUUAUAAAAAUCUUGCUGUAAGUAAAAAUAUAUAUUUAAUUAUUAUCCUCAAAAACUUGCUUUGUAGAGUAAUGUACUCCACUGGGUAACAUUGAUCGAGAUCAACUGUCUUAAUAAAGAAUUUAAUUUUUGUUAGUAAAUUAAAAUGGGGAAAGUUCAGGACUAUAAAUUUCUGGAGCAUGACCAGAAAAGUCUACCUUAAUCUGAAUCCAAGCUUUAAAUCCAAAGCAUCAUGUCUCAUGGUGACCCUGUACCCCAAUCUGUCAAACAAGUUAUUUAUCAGGUGGAUGUGCAGUUCUCAGGCAGACACUAUCAGAGGGUCUCUGGGACUAUCGUGGGGAAUGGAACAGACACAGAGCCUGCACUCACGGAGUUCAGGAUUUACUGGCAGAAUCAGGUAAUAAUGAGUUAACAAACAUAAAUAAUUGCUAAUGGCGAUCAGGUCUCAGAAGAUAACAACUAGACAUAAGGGAUGGAAGACAACAGAAGGUGGUGCCUAUUUAGAGUGACCAAGGAAGGCGGGCUUCUCUGAGGAAGUGACAUUUAUGCAGAAAUCUUAAGGAUAAGAGGGGCCAGCCAUGCAAAUGGACAUGGGUGAGGAGGAGGAGAGCAUGAGAAGGAAGAAUGUGUGUGUGCAUGUGUGUGAGUGCAAAGGCCCUGGGGUAGGAAAGAGUUAGGCUAAGUUGAGCACAUGCAUAGUUAAGAAACUGAAAUGACCAGUGUGCCUAGAGCAGAGAGGCUGAGAUAAGCUUGAAGGAGCAGAAUCAGUCAGGACUCUGGGCCGGUAAGAAGGCAGCUGCAAUAGUCUAGCUGGGAAAAGAUGGUGAUUGGUACUAAAGAAGUAGUGGGCAUGUUGAGAAGCAGACAGAUCCCAGACAUAAUUUUGAAGGAAGAACUGUCAGGAUUUCCUAAUGCAUUAUAUAUAUGGAGGAUGAGGAAAUGAGAGAAAUUAGGGAUGCUACUCAGAGUUGAACGACUCAACCUUUGCUGAGAUGGAGGAGAAUGUUGGAUGCACAGUUUGAGGGGGAGGGAAAGUCAAGAAUUCCUUGUUUCACACAUUAAGGGUGAGAUGCCCGUGAAACACUGAGAUGGUGAUGUCAAGCAGGCACUGAAGUGUGCAAGGCUGGAGUUCAGAGAGAGAUUGGGACUAGAGAUGUAAUUCAGAGAGUCAUUGGCAUGUAGAUUGUAUUUAAAACGAUGAGAGGAGACAAGUUCCACUAGAAAAAGAACAGUGUAAACACAGAGAGGAGAGAGAGGGUCCACGAGAGACCUCAGGAAGCCUUAAACCCACAGCCUGAACCCAGGGGCCUGAGAAUGAGGGGGCAGUCAGGAGGGAGAAACAGGAGAGUGUGGUGUCAUGGAAACCAGGAGAGUGGAGCAUCACAGGAAGACAGCUGAGCCUUCAGCGAGGCUAAGUGAGGGGAGGAAGGGAAGGUGUUUACUGGAUUUGUAAACAUGCAUGUCAAGGUGACCUUGGCCAGAGCAGGGUUGAUGGAGCGGGGGAAGCAGAACCCAGCGCGGUUGUGGGUUGAAGAACAAACGGGAGGCUAGUGUGGGGACAGCAGGUAUGUACAGCUAUUAGUAUAUUAUUUUUAACUGUGGUAAAUACACAUGACAUAAAAUUUACCAUCCUAACAAUUUUUAAGUGUACAGUUCAGUGGCAACCACCUUUCUACUUUCUGUCUCCAUAAUGUAGAGUGGGAUCCUACAGUAUUUGGCCUUUCGUGACUGGCUUAUUUCAUUCAGCAUAGCGUCCUCAAGGCUCAUCCAUGCUGCAGCACUUGUCAAAUUUCAUUCCUAUACAUUGCAUGGAUACACCGCAUUUUGUUCAUCCAUUCUUCCGUCAAUAGACACUUGGUUUGCUUCCACCCCUUGGCUGCUCUGAACCCUGCUGCUGUGACCAUGGGUGUGCACAGACAGCUCUUUUGAGUUGAGUAACCAGGUGAGAGCUGGAAGGGAUGUGGAGGCAAGGGGCGGGUUGGUUUUUGUUUUUGUGUUGUGUUCUGCCCCAAGCUGAGAGAAGCUAGAGCAUUUUUGUAUGCCACCUGCAGAAGGAGAGGCAAAUGCUGAGCAGAAAGAAGGACACCAGGAGGCAUGAGGGGGGAGGCCAGGCUCUAUAGCUGCACGUGGGGAAGCUGGCCUGACAGGGGCGCACGCUGCCUCUGCUGAAGAGAUGGGAGAAGACUUGGCUUCAGAUGCAAAUCCUGUAGGGGCUUUGGUGGUGGGAGGAUAAGGAAGUUUCCUUCAAAUGGCUCGAGUUUUCUCCAUGAAGUGUGGAGCAAGUUCAUGAGCUGAGAGUUGAAAGAAGGGAGGGGAGGAGGUUUGGAGGAGACAGAAGGGAUGAAACGAUCAUCUUAAAGGAAUGUUUCUAGUAGAAUCACUUGCAGAACUUUCCAAAUAUUCUCAUAGCUGCUCCCUCCUCCACAUUGCGCCUGGGAUUUAAGUGGUCUUGGGUGGGUCCUGGGCCUCUACAAUUUAACUGUAGUUUAGUUAAAAACUGUAUAGUUUUAAACUACAGUUUAGUUGACAGUAGCUAUAACUAACUAUAAAGUUAGUUAUAAACUCCUUAGACGAUUCUAAUGUGCCACAUGGGUUGUGAAUGAUUGUCUCAGAGUGGGAAAGCAGGCUUGUUAGAGAAAAAUAAUAGGAUUACUGGGAAUGCGGAACCCCAAUCUGAGAUUUAUAAUCAUAAAUUUCAAGUGAAAUGAGCUUGUACAGGUUUCAGAGUGUGGAUGUGUGUGUGUGUGUGUUUCCUGGCUCAACAUGUUGAAGUCCAGCAGAUUUUUGUCAUCAGCCUUUUUCUUUUUAAACUUAAUCACGUAAGCGCCCAUCUAUUUCUCAUCACUGACUUCUGUCGAUAAUAGGAACAGCUAAUGUCACCAUGUGCCAAGCGCUGUUCUAAGCAUCUCCUGUCCAUUAAUUUUUUCAGUCCUCACAAUAUCAACAUCUCCAUUUUACAAAGAAGCAAAUGAGGCACAAAAACAAGAUCAGGCAGUUGCCAAUAUUCACAUAGUUAAUGUGUAAGAACGGUGGGAGCUGAGACCAGGAAAUCUAGACCCGGAGUCUGUGCUCUUGACCAUGGGACCACACCACCUCUGUGUGCACAAUCUAAAAUAUGUACCCCCAGCCCUGCCCUUCCUACCACGUGAAACAGACAAUGGAAUUGACAAGAAUGCAAUUGUCGGGGGACACUUCACAGGGUUGGAAGAAAUCCUUCGAUAAACCCUCUGGCAAGGAGGAGACCCCACAGAGGGCAUGAGAGUGGUGAUCAAUGGUGGUGGGCCCUGCUGAUGCUGGGGUGGGGUGAGCAAGUAGUGAGGUGAGCCUGGAAUGCAAGCCUGAGGGCAGAGCUGAAAUUCUUCACCUGCUAGAGGAGAGGGGUGCACAGGAGGGGUGGUGUGACCCAGGGGAACUUUGGCAAACAGAUAUGACUGAGGCCGACAUUGAAACCCUACCCUGCAUGUUCCCCACGAAAUCAUCUGCUACUCUUACAUUGCCCACCACUGAUGUCGUUAGUGUUAGUGGAUUAUUUUGGGGGAAGGUGACCAGGUGCUGAGGUCUAUGGCAAGACUGUGUGGGUGGAAAGCAGACUAAAGAGAGGGGCAGUUGCAUCUGGGUUAUAUCACUAGAGCGCAGGCUACAUUUUGGAUGGUCUCCUGGACACUUACACCAUUAAGCUCAUUAAAUGCAGAAUUACCUCCCUAAUGCCCCAAGCCAGUUUCUCUUUCUGGCUUCCAGACUCUUGCCAGUGGUAGCAGAUUCCCCAACUUCAAAGACUGGAAAUCUCAGCACCAUCUUUGAGCACAGAACCUGUACCAAAAUGUAUUGAGUUUGGGUGGAUCUUGGCGUAGCAAUAGAGGAACAUUGGAGAUUUUUUUAUCAACAUGUCUGAAAGUUUGGAAUGAGCAUCAGACAAAGACUUUUUUAGACAUCCCUAUGGAGACUAUCCUCAGCUGAGAACAGUCCCACUGGCUCCUUUCCUAAGCCAUUUAUCUAACAAGCGUGGGCAGGUACCAGUAACCGCCAUUUUGAUGGAUUUAGCGGUGGGGUGCUAAAGCCACCUCCCACUAGCUCCCCUGAGCAGAUUUUCAGACAUUCAGGAAUUUUGCAAGUUGGUCGUAAAACCAUGGGUAGUUUGAAAUCAGCCAUGGCGGGAAUAUUUACACCCCAGAAAUCAGCAAACACUGUAAAUUGGGGGUACUCCCCCAGCUAGUUCCCGCUCCAGCCAGUUUACCAGCACAUCGCUGACUUAGUGCCCGCUGGUUGUGAUAAGGUGCUGUUAGGUUCGUUGGGAUCCCCGUCCUUAUUCCGCCUCUGUGAAUGAGCUGGAGGAGGUUAAGUGUGUUGUCAAGCAUCACUUGGCUGGUGAGUAGCAGCACUGGAAUUGGAACCUAGUGUCUUAAACUGAAGGUCUGAAGAGAGAGUGGAAUUAGACCCUGAGGUAUUAUUACAAGGAGUCGAUUUGACAUCUGCCACCAAUGUCUGGAAGAUAUUGCCUGGGAAGAUAGUUCCUGAGCUUUCUGUCAGACAUUCCUACAGGAGAAGUAGAGAUUUCACUUCUGAGGCAAUGUGAUGCUUGAGGAAGCACUCCGGUGUUCAGCUUAUAAAAAGAUUCCUAAUUAUCUGCAUGCAACCCUGGAGGGAAUGAUGGAGACUUUGAGCAUUUUCAUGCUAAUGACUGGGAUGAUGUCAUAACAUUUAAAAAUCUGUAUUUGGAGAGACUCCCUGGCGCUCCGCUGAGGUCUCUCUGUUGGAACUUUGUUUUGCAUGAAGAUGAGAAAGAGAGGGAGGCUCCUCAAGAUUAGGCAGAGAGCUCUGGGUAGGGGAGGUGUCAGAGCACACAGCCAGAGCAGAAGUCUGCAUCCUGAAGAAUUUGAAGGAAACAAUGGUCUUCCUCACUUCUCACGAGCUCUCUCUUAGGGAAAUGAAGUGGAUGCUGCCGGGGCCCCUUUGUUGAGCUGGUGCACCUACCCCAGUUCUUGGGAAGAUCGCCUUGGUCAGAAUCCGAGCCACUGUACUAGGGAAGUGUUGGGGUGAGGGCAGCCUUCAGCCAAUGUCUGAUGGCGAAGGGGUACACAAGGACAGUCCGUAUGCCUCGAGGGAUGAGCAACACUGCACUUUGUGCUCCAGGGCGCUCCACGGUCUCCGUGGGGCCAGUCUCCAGCUGAGCCCACAUCCUUGCCAGCUUUCUUCCCCUGCCCUGCCCUCCUUUUUCACACCCUUUCUCCUGAGACAACUCCCUCAAUAAAACACUUCCCCAAGAAUCCCAUUUCAGACUGUUUCUAAGGAACCUGACAUAAGAUGGGAGAUUUCCCUAUUCUGAGGAUCCAAGAAAUAUACGAAGUCUUAGUGGUUACUUGGAGCAUCUUCUAGGGUCUCCUGGUGAUGUCACUUCCUCCUUCCCCAUGACUCAGAGAAAGAUUUAGGGGAGUUCUGGGUCCUCCUGGUUCCCUGGCAGGGACAGCAUCACCGGCUCUGGUCUCGGAAGGGGCUGUGCAGAGCUCUCUGUGCCACUUUGCAGCGCCCUGUGCUCCUCACAAGAUGACCUCCUGGCUCCCACAACACCCCCUCAAAGCAACAGGGAGAGCCAAGGAUGUGGGUGCAUGCUGUUCACUUGGGGAAUGAUCUCGGAAUUCAGGAAAGAAAACAAGCCUUAUAUUUAAGGGUGUGCAACUGAGGCUGCUGCUAUGUGCAACAGGACAUGUGCUACGUGCAGGGGACUUCAGGGAGAUGUUAUUUUUAUUCCCACCUGAGGGAAGGGCAGCUGGAGCACUAAUGCACUGGCUCCCAUCCCACACUAGCUGAGAGUUACCCCAGGUGUGUUAACUCCCUUGCAUUUCUGGGUUUCUCCUGAAUGAGGCAAGGCCUUUGAGUACAAAGUUGUGCAUAAGAGGGGAUGCUGUCCUGGUGAGGGACUCUCAGGUUGCAUGGAACUGUGCCUGGCAGUAGAGGCUGAAAGCAGUCACCCACCUCAUCAUUUCAAAGUGUCUUAAAGCAAUUCCCAAAAGGAGGACAUCAUUAGAGCUGGUUACUCACUUUCCUUAAAAAACGGUAAGCCUAGUACCUUCAUGCCUCGGAACUGUGUUAUCUCAGACACCACCAGAAGCCCAAGUCUUAUGCCCGAUGCCUGACACAUAGGAAGUUCUUAACAUGCAAGUAUUCAACACAGGGGAAAUAAAACAGAAUAUGAAACUUUAAAUCAGGCCGUUAAGCGUGAGUCAAAUCUCUUUAAAAAGACAAAUGACUGAUGGAACAGCAAGACCAGACAGUGCCGUGCCUGAAGCUGUGGUCACAGCUAAGGCAGGACAGGGCUGACCACAAGGAGGUCGGGGUGCCGGUCAGCCACAAAGCACAGAACCCAAACUGGCUGUGCCCACCCAGGCGCCGUCCAGGGGAGAGGGCGGGAAACAGGGGCAGCAGGGCCUGAUGCUGGCAAACUUUCAAAUCCUGCAACCUACUCCCCUCAUUCUGCCCUCCCGCUCCUCCAGCACCCCUCUGAGAUGGUCAGCUGCUUCUGUGGCUUGCCUGAGGGAUAAAUUGUACUGGAGAGUCCAGCAAUUGUCUGGUCUGCCUGACAGUUCUAUUUCUCAUCACAAAUAAAGAAGUUGGCCUCUGGUUUAUAUAGUCAGGUCUCCUGUGAGUUUAGUCACUAUGAGUCAGCCUGUUCGGGAUCAGCUCCUGGGCACUAAUGAGAUGGAGCUUCUGGAGGGGGAAGAUGGACUCUCAGCUCUAGCAUGGAGUAAAUUCUCUGGAGUAGAUGCCACACCAGGAGGGCACUUGGGGUCAGCUAGCUGGCAUCCUUGCAUGGACCUCCCCUACAUAUUUCUCCACUUGUUUAGUGGAGAGGCAGAAGAAGAGCAGGCUAAGGGAGGUCAGUAAUGAGGUCUUGGUAGAUCACGCCACGGAGGAUGGGAGAGAAUUUACGUAAGUCAGCUUACAGGAUCUGUUACCCAGAGAUGUGGUAUAGGUUGAAAACGAAGAGAUUCAAGAAGCAAUUUGCUCAUUUAAAAGUUAUAUCUUUUUACAUUAAUGGGAGAAGAAAUACAAGAAGAGUCCUUGGUACAUAGUAGCUGAUUAAUUGUUUGUUAAAUGAAUAAACUAUAAUUGGUCAAGGAACAUGUGAAAAAAUAUCCAGCCUCAGUGAUCAGAGAAAUGCCUAUUAAAACAGUAAUGAAAUAUCACUUUCCCCCUCUUAGAUUAACAAAGUUAAGAGAAAAACAUAUAAUAUAAAUGAAGAAAAUAAUACAUGCUCCUUGGGAAAGGGAAAGUAAAUAGGUAUUCUUAUAAUUACUCCAAAAUUUCUGGAACUAAAUCCAGUAAUAUGCAUCAAAAAUCUUAAAGAAAUAUAUAGACCAUUUUGCCCAGCCAUUUCAUUAAUAGGAACGGACUCUAAGAAAAUAAUUGAGCGAGUUCACUGCAAAAUUGUUGAUAAUUGCAAAAAAUUGGAAACCACCUCAGUGUCCAACAGUAGCAGAAUUAGUUGAAUAAAAUCCCCAGCCAUGGAAUACUGCUCAGUCUUUACAACUCAAAUGUAGAGAAUGACCAAAUUUAUACCUGUUAAGUGAAGAAAGCAGGUUGGAAACAGUAAAACAGAAUAUGACUCUCUCUUUUAAUUAUAUGAACUAUUUGCUUGUAAACAAUCCAGAAGGAUAUGUAAUAAAAGGUUAUCUUUGAGCAGUAGGAUUAUUGGCAUUUUUAUUUGCUUUCUUGACUAAUUCAUAUUUCCUAAUUUGUCUAUAAUCUAGUUAGAGUGUUGCAAUAAUAAAUAGGUACUUAUACUUAAAAAAUAAAGUGAAUUAAAUGUUGCCAAUUUCCAAAUGGACUGGAUUUGACUUAGGAGGUGUAAACACAGAGUUACAAAGUUAUCCUGUACAUGUAAGGUUAACUGAGAACAGAACUCACGAUAGAAAGUGGAAGAAUGAGCUGUUACUGGGUGUGUGAGGUGAUUACUGUAAGGGGUGCUGCACUUAUGAAUGAGUAUCCUGCUAGGUAGGGCAAAAAAGAACAGAGCAGGUGAGACUGUUUUUUGCUUGAAAGGGAAGGCAAACAGAUUCAUCUGAGGGGCACAUUCCUCCAGGCGCAAAGAUGAGACAGGAUAUAUUAUGUAUUAGUGCCAGUAGAUAAUGUAGUUAUUCUUUGUUAAAUAGAGUGUCAAUCCCUCAUUCAAGAAGGUAAUUUUGAAUAGAACUUUCCUUAAAAACAGAGGUUGCAACAUUAAAUUGUACUUUGAAAUCACUGAGUGUUCAAAUUGGAUGGAAGUAACCUUGGGGAUCAAACUCAUUUACAGAUGAAGAAACUGAGGGUCAGACUGGUGAAGUAAUUUGCUCAGUGAGCGGGAAAAGUGGGACUAGAAUCCAUAUCUCUUGAUUCCUGGCCCAGUGCCCUUUGUACCACACCCCAAAGUCUUCAUCCUCCAUGCCUCUGGCUUAUUUGUGCAUUCAGAACUGGACAGGCUGUUGCCAGCCAUGUGUCAGUUGUGUCUGACUGACCCAUCCUCUGAUUAGGGUCUUCUCUGAAGCAGGAAUCUCGUCUAUCCACCACACCAGCUGCACAGCGCUCUGCACACAGAAGGCACUCGGGCUUACUGAUUUGCGAUCAAUGAGGGGAUCGUGCGCAAGAUGAGAGUUUCAUAAUACGAUAAUUUCGUUUUAUUAUAACCUAAUUUUCUAUAGCUUUGAAAGGUUAGACAACAUUAAGGGUUGAUACUAAUAAGCACGACCGUACUAAGUGAACAUUUACUGAGCACUUGCUGCGCACCAGACAGGCUUCUGAGCACUGCUCAUAUAUCAUCUCAUUUCACCUAUGACAUGGGUGCUCUUCCUACCUCCAUUUAACAGAUAAGAACGCUCAGGCACAGAGCAGGAAAUGAAUUUGUCUGAGGCACCAUGUCUAGAAGAUGACAGAACUGAGGCAUCAACCCAGGCGGAAUGUUCUAGAAUUCGAUCCUUAGCUACCACCUACAUUGACUCUCCAGGAAUAACAAGAAUGAUAAUGCCUACCAUGUGGUGAGCCAUUUGCACGAGCUGGGGCCUGAGCUUGGUUAAUUCUAAUAUACUGGUUGGUAGACAGUACUGUCUGCAUUUGAUUCAGGGCCUGAUGUAAGUUAUUUACCCCAACCCAAGACAGCUGAUAAGUGAUGAAACGUGGAUUGAAACCCACGUCUCUUAAAUGUCUGUGUUGUUUCUACUCUAUCCUAUAGGAAAUAAGAGCCCCACAAUAGGGCACAUUUGGAACCUCUGCAUAGAAACCAGGCCGAGCAAGGAUUUUACUCACCUCCUGGAUUGAUCCCCAGAUUUGUGGCUUAAAAACUACCUAGACAGUUACAGGCUAUGGGAAUGCUUUCCCCAUUGUGGGCCAACCCCAUCACUAGGCAAGGUCGACUGGGUGGCUGUUUCUGCAUUUUGAAACUUGGAAAAAUUCUUGCCCAACCCAGGAAGGCCUUCAGUUGAAGCAAGAAUAGAGGCUAAUAGAGGCUUCUUCCCCCAACCAGGACUCAACAACCACUCAGGCACUCCAUUUAGUGGGUGGACAGGCGAGCAUAUGGUGUCCCAGUGGGGGAUCAUGGGCCCUUUGGUGGGGGUAGGCGUCAGAGUAGGCUUCCUGGAGGAACUGCCGUCUAAUCUGUGAUAUCAAGAAAGAAUCAAAGGAGUGAGCUUUGGGAAAGGAGGCCGUGAGUGAAGUGGCUGAGGGACAGGGCUCCCCAGGUUAGGAAGGUGCCAGGUCACUCGUGUCCCUUGAUGGCUCAACCCUGUGCAAAGCUGCAGGCAGGAAGUGUAUGCUUCCCUCCCAGUUUCUCUUUUAUGUGCCUUUUGCUCCUUGCAUGAUCCCCUUCUCUCCUCUCCCAUCUCCCACAUCCAGUCUGCCCCUUCCUUCAUGGACUCCUGCUUUCAAAGCUUCUCUUCUCCAAGAUGUAAGUGAUCAAUAAGACCCCACAUGUUCUGCCACCCAUGGCGAUGUGCACAAAGCAUCCCUUGGACCAUCAGGAAGCUGUGCGUCCUCUCUCCUCAUCCUGGCUUCUGCCUGCUGCCACUCUAGCUUUCUCUUCCCAACCCCAGAGUGGGACACCCGCCCAACUUACCCCGCUCCCUCUGGUGAAAGUCCAGCCUUGUGCUUCUCAUUGUUGUAGGAGUUAAGUUGCUUGCUCUGGUCUCUGUGGAGGCAGUUUGGAUGGUCUAAAGGGGAGGGAGUUUCCGGGCCAGGCAGCAGUUGCCAAAGGUGGGAGUGAGGACAUCUCUGCCUAUCCAGGAGACAGUUCUCUGCAGUUGUGGAAAGGCACUGUCCUGGUUUACACCCCAAGAAGUGAGAUAGCCUUGGGCAUCUGCAAGCUCUCUGAAGCUCCAUUUGCUGAUGGCCUCACAUAACUGUGGUGAGCCUCUACUGAGAUGAGGGUGGUUGAAAGUGCUUUGUGGACGGUAAAGCCCUGUGCAGGUAUGACUAUGUGUGAUGCUGUAGUGGACUAUGGGUGUGUGCUUUUGGAGUGAAUUCACCCAGACUGGGUGCCUCACCUCAGGAUUGCUAAUGGGCUUGGGGGUAAAGCCUGAGGAGGGGCUCUCCUAGCAGUGGGUAAGCCACUUCUGCCCAUGCUCAGUCUGUAUAAUCCUCCAGCCAGAUAAUCGGGCCUUCAACCCUACUUACACCUGGAUUAUCUGAGAGGCUAUGGUUGUGUAGGCAUGGAGUCUGAAUUUCUUUUGCCUGCCCAUCCUUUGAGAGUCAAUCCAUGCUUUAUUCAGUCAAACCUUCCUGGGAGGGUUUUAAGAUGGCAUUAUUAUCCCUUUUGGGUACAAAAUCUUGUCCUCAAUGCUCUUUAUUCCUAUAAAUGAGAAUGAUUGAUUUAGACUCUUUUAAUGUAAUCCUCAGACAAAUGAGUGCUUCAUUGAAACUUAAUAUGAUCACCUGGAAAGGAAAUUCCCCUCCUGAGAGACAAGGAGCCAGACAGACUAUAGGAGAGACAUCCUCUGAAGGCAUGUGGGAAAAGCUCUCUCUCUCUUCCUCAUUCCCUCCCACUUGGGGGUGUGUAUGGAGGGGAGAGAGCAGUAGGAAGAAUAGGAGGGAUGGAGUCAGUAUGUGGUGUGUGUUGAAGAUGCUCAAAGUUAGGGAGGAACGAGGCUGGAUGAGCUCAAGAGCUUCCAUUCUUCAUCCAGUUCCUCAGGCCAAAAACCUGGAGUUAUUCUUGACUCUUCUCUUUCCUUCACACCUCACAUCCAAUUUUCAAAGUGUUGGCUCUAAGUAUAAAACAUGCCCAUUUUGGGAGGGUCAGAAUCCUCAUAUGGCUUCUCCUUGUGCUCAGAAUAACAUCCACACUCUCUACCAUGGCUUGCAACAUCCAAUCUCUUUUAGCCUCUGUCUUCCUCUCUGAACCACCUCCUUUCUUCCUCAUACCAAACAAGCCAAAUAAGCUCCAUCUUUGUUAUUCAAACAUGGCAAGCUCCGUCCUACCUCAAAGCAUUUAUCCAUGGUGUUCCUCUGCCUGCUGUUCUCAAGGCUGAUUCUUCCCUGUCAUUUAGAUCUAAGUGCACAUUUUUCUUCCUCAGGAGGGUUUCUCUGACUCCCUAUCUAAAGUGUGUGCCAUAUCACUCUUUUGAAUCCUAUUGCCUUAUGACCCUUAUCACAACUUGCAUCUGUCUUAUUCAUGUGCUUGGUCAUUGGCUCUCUCCCCUACUAGAGGAUAAGUCCUUUGAGUGAAGGGACUGUAUUUGUCUUUGUCAAUGCUUGUAUCACCAGUACCUUAAAGAGUGACUGGUACAUAGUAGGUAAUGCAAUAAAUAUUUGCUGGAUGAAUAAAAAGGAAGCCACAAGAGUGCAAGCCAAGGAGAGAAGCAGCGAAGAAACUGGCCCUCUGAAUGCUGUGUCUGCCAUCUUGUAUGUAGCACCUACCUAUGGAUACCACCUAUGGGGACAUGACCAAGGAGCAGUGGCAGAGUAGACAUAGGGAUGCCCAUAUGGACUGGCUCAACCACUGUUGGACUUGAGGACUUGUCCACAAGUUCCUAGGCCUGAGAGAUCUUCAGGUCUAAAUCCUGUCUUUCUUAAAAUAUGUGAGAAAUGAGCCUCAGAGAGCUUCAGGCACUUGCCCAAAGUCACACAACUAGUAUACCUCAGAGCAAGAAUUAGAAUCAGACCUUGGCUUCCAGUCCAAUGUUUUCUCACUGUACCUUGCUGCCCCCAGUGCCUUGGGAUACAGAAGAAUGAAGCUGCUUUGGCAGAAGGCUUAGAGAAGGUCCCCAGUGCGUCCAAAGUUAGUUGCCUGGAUGAUGGAAGCAUAGGCAACUGACUAGUGGUUGGCACUGGGAUCCUUGGGCUGACUCAUUCCCUUUGGCCUCAUGUCUCCCUUGUGUGGGAGGGUGACAUGUGUAUCAGUGCUUGCAAGUCACAACUAAGUGGAAUUUGAGCAGAUAUUUCAAGAGGAAAUACAAAAAGAAUGAAAACUUUAUGAGUUUGGAGGGGGUACUGAAGAUCAGAAAUUAAGGAAUCGUUGUUUUAAAGAAGAGAUAUACUUUUAAGUUAGAGGCAAGAGACAAUGUUAGAGGCAAGAUCAUAAUGUUGAAGCUGGGGGGUGUUGGAGGGGCAGCAGGCAGAUUUUCACUGGGCUCAUUUGCUCUAAAUGCUCUUUUCAAGUAAUAAACUUGGAGAGGUGGUCAAGCCUCUUCUGUACUGCAAGAGAGAGUAUCAUGUCUCAGGGAUCUAGGGAAAGAGGGAAGGGGAGGCCACAUCUGUUUAAAAACAAGUAGAAAAGUAAGGGAAUGGGUUACUUUUCCCAGCAGGUGGGAAACAUAGGGUAUCUCUUAAUUCAAGAGGCAGUGCAGACUGAAAUAGACCUGGUGGUUCAAGAAGGAUGGAGAGAGAUGCCUGGAGAAGAGACCCCUGUGCAGAAGGCAGAGGUGGUGGUGCACUGCUCUGCUCCAUACAUCACCACGGCCGAGAAAGCCUAGGCUUGCCAUGAGUGGGAGGUCUUAUGUGUUAUUUGCAAGGAAAAGGCAGAUAUUCUGUUCCCCAGGGUGCCUGUCCAAUUCACUUUACUUCAAGAAUAAAAUAAUAAUAAUAAUAAUAGAAAAAGUUGUAUUUAUUGAGCAAUUUAUACUGCAGGGUGCUUUAUACACAUUAGUUUAUCAAAUAUUCAUGAGAUACUGGUGGGACAGGUAUAAUUAUUUUCCUCAUUUUACAGAUUAAGAAACUGAGGCUGAGAAAGGCUAAGUAACUCACCGAAGAUGCAGAAGUGAUGAAUGGCAGAGCCAAGACUUGAACCCUCACUCUGCACCAUUAGGCUACGUGGCUUCAACAUGCCUAGGCUCUAAGAUCCUCUCUUCAGGGGCAGGCAGUCUUGACACUGCCUCCCUUUUCCCCUGGUGCCCAUCCUUGAGUCAGUGUGAUGCUGCCUCCUACUCCCUCCCCAACAGACUGCCCGGGUGCUGUCCUAGGUUCUGAACUUUGUUUUAUAAAACUUGAAGUGCAUAGGAAGAAGGGUCUGUCUGCACUACUGAUUCUAAUUUUAAGCUCUUUUAUAAAAGCUCACAGCACAUCAUGGUGUCACACUCUGAAUGGCAUCGGGUCACUAUUUUUUCAGAUAGUAGCAAGUCCAGAAGCUCCCAGAUGAGCAUCCCACUCCCACUUAGUGCUCCACUGGGGCUGAGAAUGAUCCCAAGGGACCAGUUGGGUGCAACUACCAGACCUCAUCAUAAUAGCAUGAGUCAAUACAUAAAUUAACUUUGAAGAGCUCAAUCCUAUCUACAUUCUCAUGUGAUUGAUUAUAACUGAUGGGUUUUGGGGGACUGGGGCAAAUAAGGACAAUGUCUCUAUUUUCCAAAGGGGAAAAGAGACCAUGACCAAAGGAUUUGCCUAAUGCUAAACUCCUUAUGUGUGGUACCUAGAUCUCUCUACUAAAUUAAGACUCUUUCUGCUAUUCUAUAUCAUCUCCCCAAAGUGAUGACAGACAGGAAUCAAGGAAGGGGAGGAAAGAGAGAGUAAGAAGGAGGGAAGAGAGAUGGAAAGAAACAAAGGGAGAAGAGGUGCAGGGAGGCCAGAAGUAAAAGGAAAAGAGGUGUAGAUGUUUUCGGAUAAGGGAACAGGAUGCUCUUAUCACUUCCUCAAGUGUCACUCAGAGAAUGGGUUUUCUUCAGUUUCAUGAAUAUCAAUGUCUCAUUCAAGGGCACAAUCUCCUGGAUAUGCUUUGUUCCCUAUCUCCUGUUUCAGUGGAAAUCUACGUUAAGAAUGACCAAGUGUCAUACCACAACUGCAGAUUAAGAAUCAAGUUCUUCCCAGUUCUACCAUCCCCCAAUCCCCACGAAUACUCCCUACCCUUUCACGUCUCAUAACACUGUCUUCUUUGCCUAUAAUAUCUUUUAAGCAACUGGCCCUUGGUCAUGAAGCAGUUGAGAGGGCCACUAUUCUUCCCUGAGUCCAUCUCCAACCAAACCUCUUCCAGGAAGCUUUCCCAGAUCCUUGUACAUGGAAAACUUUUCUCCUUCUUGGAAUUCUCCAUUAUCCUUAGAUUGCACUGCUAUUCCAACACUUAUCAUGGACUCUCUUGUGCUAUUAUAAUAUGUAUCUGUGUCUUCUCCAUUUGAUUUUGCAUCAUCUUUGGAAGGCAAAGUCUUUAUCCUAUUGUUUUUUGGUCUCCUGCCUCCCAAGCAUACUGGUCACCAAGCACACUGAUUCACAAAGAAAGUAUUCAAUAUUGUUUAAAUGAAUAGCAUUUUUUACUUGAAAACAUUUCUAGGACAUAUGUAGGACUUAAUUUUACAGAGAUGACAAUGCCAUAAAAGAAUCCAGUUAUCUUAUCUGAUUCACAGUCCUGUCUUUGUUUAUUCCAUUGAAUUUCCAUCCACUCCAAGGCUCUGGGAAGCCCCAUGAGCUUGAGAGUCAUUGACCUGAGUCUGCAUGAAGCAGAAGACUGGUUCCCAGGGCAGUGUUGCCAUUGUACUCUAGACUAUGUCUAAGGUGGCCAGCUCCGAGAAAGCUAGUGUAGGAAGGUCUUAGGAGAGAACUAAGAGGCACUCUUGAGUGUUCCUACACUAAAGCAUGUGUCUGGAGUCUAUGGAGUUACAUUCUACUCCAUAUCUAUCUUUACAAGGCCAGCAGUCAGGGAGAUUUCCAUUUUUGGAGCCCAUACAUGAACCUGGCAAUGUUCAAGAGGGAUCCUCUUGGCAAGAACUUCUCCAAAGGACUGUCGUGUGUGAGAUCCUGGGACAUAAGCCACACUUCUACUUUCUUUUUAGAGGAGAUAUAACAAUUGUAAACUCCUUUGUGGAGGAGAAAAGAGAGAGGCGGAGUUGCCUGGACUUUCUGAAAGUGCUGGAACUUUUCUCCCAACAACACAAAAAGACAAGGUUCUGGUCAGAUAUUUACAGCCCCUGAACAUGGAGGUUUGCUAAAGCAUCUCAGUCCCAGAAAAGUCAGAGAUUUGGAAGUCCAGUCUCAGGAAUCCCAGAUGGGCACUGGCUAGUGAGGACAAGGAGAGUUUGAAGGCAAUGUUAGACACAUAUUGAUUGAACAUCUUCAUAAAAGCCUAUGUAUUUUUUGGGACACAAGACCUGGGUUUACCUUUUCUUUGGGGUCUUCUGGACCCUGCCGAGGACCAAUGGUAUCACAUUCUGAGACCAGCAGCUCCUUUUCAAUCCAAGUAUCUCCAGGUCCCUAGAAUUUGUCUCCUUUCCAUGAGAGGUGUGAGGGAGGGUGUGUCCCUCCCCUAAUUGCAUCAGGGUAUAUUUGUGGCAUCCCUGCUGACUUUCAUGCUGAGGCUCCAGGUCACUAGAAGCUAGAAGUUCCCCGGAUUGGGGUGUAACCAUGGAUUCUCCUCUCUCUCUUUUUGCAACACCAUCCUCCUUUUCUACAUGGGCUCAUCCAUGUGAUUUGAGAGACAGUUUCCUUCUCCAUGCCUUCAAAUCUCUGGCCAAAGCCAGGGAUGCUGGCUUCACUUCUUAACAACAGGACCAUGUCAAUACCUGGGGACAAAUCUCUCCCAAAUGGGUUAAGUUCCUCAUGCUUCUAUGAUCAGGACAGAGAGGGCAGGCUAGGAGGGAUGGACAGCCUUCUCCUUAUGAUGAAAUUUUCUCAAGGUGAUGAAAAUUCUCAAGGUGAAAUUCUGCAGAGUGCUUUAAAAAUUCUACCAAAGACUGGAGGCCACGGAGCUUCCACUGAUACCGGGAGACUCAGUCUGCUAAUAGCUGCCUCAUUUCUGCUCUGCACUUUGAGAUUUCAUGCAGAACACUCUGGAUUGCAAUGCUUCACCUGCAAGGCCUGUGAAAUCAGCCUUCCCUCUUGCCCUUCAUAUGUGAGCCCCUUCUUACCUGCCUCCCUUCAGCAGAGGGCCAAGAGGCUCAGGGACACUUCCAAGGUCAUUGAGGAGUCAUUUUAUCCAAUCCAUUGCCUUUCCAUAAUAACUCAUGCAUCCAUCCCAGAUAAGUGAGCAUCUCCCCUAGGUUUAAAAAUCGCCAGAAGGCGUUGUGUUCUUUUGGUUCUGUUUUUAUUACAUUGUGAACAUUGGUACAAGGUUAAAUACACACAGAGACAGACAUCAGAAGGCUGCAGAGAGCAUACACAGUAACAUACUUGUACACAGAGAAGGAGUACAGAGAGACUGACAGAGCACACAAAUACACAUAGAAUACAGAUAACAGCUACAGGAGUGUUGGCUCCAUCUGGUAUACAUUCCUACACAAAACAGAGCAUAGGAUACAGACAGCGAUGUCAGUUGAUAAACAUCAUCAAUUAAAAUCCAGCCAUUGGGUUACAUAUGACAACAACAACAAUAUACAAAGCCUUAUUACAUCUCCAAGGGGCAAAAGGUCUAGGAAACCUCAAAGAGCUUUUGGGAAUUGUCUCAGAGGCUAGGCUCUGAGGGGAGGAAUGAAACAAGCAGACCACAAAGAUAACCAGGGGAGGAGACCUGACUGUCAGGCUGAGAAGUGGGAACAAUGGAGGCAAGUCAGUGGGGACAUGGGGCCACAUUCUUCAAGAACCUCAGGGACAUCAAGAAGAUCAAAGGCCCCUGUCUGUCCAGACCCUCAGCCCCAGCCCCACCUCCACUCUCCAGCCCUGCUGGAAAAGUCCAGGGAUUGAUAAUGACUGAACAGGAGCCUGUUUUUGCUUUAAGUUACAUUUGGUGACUGAGGUCCCAGCGCCAGCUACUAGGGAAAGGAUGUCACCCCUGCAUGGUGAGCACUGCCAUCAAAGCCCCCGUGCUGUCAGCCUUGGGUUCUAGCCUUGGCUCUGCAAUCAACUAGCUGAGCGAUCUUGGACAAGUCACUUAACCUCUCAGUUUCUUCAUCUGUCAUAUGAGGGCGCUGGCUAGAUGACCUCUAGACCUCUCCCAGUUCUUAUAGAGGGAAAUUCAGAUGCGUUUUAAUAGCACCUUUUUCUGAAGGAGAAAUAAAACAAAAGGGAAGUGAACAAAGGUAAUCCAUCUUCCCAACCACCCAUCUACCCACUCACUUCCACAGUCGCAGUCACUCCCAAAGACCAGACCCUGAAAUCCAGCAAUUAGAUACCUUGAGACCCGGCUUUAAGCCGAACCCAUCCCAAGAAGCCACCUUCUGUUGAGGGCAGACUUCUCAGGAGCAGGAGUAAACUAGUGCAUGCUGCUUGAAAGUAGAGAUGACAUUGUAUUUGCUGUGUAAACCCUAAUACCCCAACCCAGUGUCUGGCAAAUAGAAGCUAUUUUUAGCCUUCGCCAUCUGCAACUUUAUAUGUCAGAGUAGUUUGAACCAAAUUUCGGUAGGACUCGAGUUCAAAACAUUUCAGUCUUUCCCUUUGUUUCUGAGGCUCAAGUAGAGGGACCUCAAAAAAACCAAAGUGGAAAAUAGGGAACAACAAAGUGAUUUGGUAUCAAGAAUUGUCCACUUCCUGGAAAAGCACUGGCCAGGGGACACAUUAGUCCCUCCACCAUCUCUGUCUGUCUUUCCCGCCUCUUCCUCUCCUUUUCCUUCAUUAGGAGAGGGGACAAGAUCCUUUUUCUUCUUUCCCUAUCUUCAAGGCACCAUUGGGACUAUGAAGGGUGUGUAACAGGAGUCUCUUUUUCUCUGAAUAUUUCUAGGUGGCAGUUGUCAUCUCUCUCCUUGUCUUCUCCAUUGCUCAGUGCUCAAAAAGCACCACCUUAUGGCCCCCUGAGUUCUUUGCUCCAUGUCUUUUCUCUUUUCUGGCCUUUAGCAUCCACAGAGGGCUACUGCCUACAUAGCUGUCACCCAUUCUCAGAGAUGGGAUUAAUCACACCUUCAUCUUCUCUUCUAGUACCAAACGAGCCUCAUUAAUUCCUAUAAUUGUUUCUGAGCCCUUUAAUUGUCUUUGCCAUCUUGAAAGUGGCAUCUGUUUGCUUGGCUCUACAGCAGCACUUUGGUUUAUAUCCUUUUCUAUCUGUUAAAAGCAGUAGAGAUUAAGUAAUUAAGUACCUGGCCUCUGAAGUCAAACAGACUUGGGUUGGAGUCUUGGCUCACUGCUUAUAAGCUGUGUGAUCAUGGCAAGUUACUUAACUUUGCUGGGUUCAUCUAUAAAAGGGAUUAACGAGAGCACCUACAACACAGCACUUGUGAAGACCGAAGGAGGUCAGACAUGCAAAGUGCUUACCACAAUGCUUGGCACACUGUACCCCUUAAAAAGAAAAAAGCAACUCUUUCUGCCUUGCCUCCCAGUCUCCCUGUAGACCUAUGUAUAAUCUAUAGUCCAGCUAUGUCCACCCAGAACUUGCUGAGAUGAUGGAAAUUCCAAUAUGGUAGCCACUAGCCACAUGUAGCUACUGAAUACUUAAAAUGUGGCUGUGCAACUCAGGAAAUGAAACUUUAAUUUUAUUUCGUUUGAAUUAUUUAGAUUUAAAGUGCCACAUGUGCUUAGUGGCUACCAUACUGGAAAUAUCCAAUGGAUAUAUGGACAUAUAUAUAUAUAUAUAUGGACAUAGCUGGGCCAGUGGCUACCUAUAGCUAUAUCUUUGCUGUACAUGAGGGAAGGGCUGGCCUUUUGAGCACACUGGGGAAAGUGUGAUAUGAAAUGUGUCAUGGGCUGGGGGUCUCCACUUGACACUACCAUGGAAGCUUCAGCAGGUCAAUUCACCUCUGUGCCUCAGUUUCCUCACCUAUAAAGUUGAGUAGUUGACCAAUGUUCCAAGAUCCCUUCCAUCCAGGGCUGCUGUCUAUGAGCACAUGGACUGUGCACAGCGCUACUGCAGGCUGGCAGCACCAUUCACAGAGACUACAAUGUGAAGGGUGCCCCCUGGAGUUGCGGAACCUCAUAGUCUUGCUUCUAUCCCUAAAUAUUCUGGGGCUUGACAAGGUUGAUUUCCCAAACUGCCUCUUCUGAGACAUCCUGCAAGUCUGGAGGGGCUUCCAGGCUACUUCAGAAUGCAAUCUGUGAGGGGAACGGGGGUGCUGGGGAAGAGUGCAUGCAUAUGACAUUAGGUCUGAAUCCCUCUGCCAAUACUGCCUGGUUAAUCUGCCCAACCCUCUGCCUUGGUCUCAGACUCCACAGACAUACUGCAAAUGUUUACACCCACUAUUUAAUAGGCACUAAUGUGAGGCACUGCUCCUAUUAAAGCACUGAAUGAGUAGACAUGCAGUCUUAGUGGACAUUAACACCAUAGCACAAAUUAGCCCAUUCUAAAGUGCUAACUAGCUGAGAGCCGUUUUGCUAAGGCAGAGAGCUAUUUGGAGUCUGCCAGUGCCUAGAGAAGGUAGACCUAGAUAGGACCUGGUGGGCGAGUGAAGCAGAGGUUUCUGCUGUGUGCAUGUCUGUGGGGGUGCAUGCAGAAGUACUUUAGAGGAGUUGAAAGGUCCUGAACGAGGGGACAGUGGUGCUCCAUGGCCCACUUCCUGGGUGGCCCCAUUCUGCCCAGUGCCGGCCCCGCACAGGGAUGCAUGAAGCACUAUUCACACAGCAGUGCUGCUCCUGCCGCCUCCUCUUGGGGUCCUGCCAUCUCUCUCAGUUCACUGAUGCCACGCAUUCUAGGCCCUGUGAACUUCCUGUUCCAGGGUGGACCCUGGGGUUUGCAUCCUUGCCCUUCUUUUCAGAAGAGAAGCUUCAGUCGGCUGGAUGUUAAUUACGCAUCCUUAGGCAGCCAGCCCUGUGUCGCUGCUAAGGGGCGCAGCCACAGCUGUUGCCAGCCCAAGCCCUGGAGGCCCAUGGGACACGCUUGUGACAGCAGCCUAGUGUGACUGCAACAUCCUUCCUUCUCCUCCUGUUCUCUCUCUUAAAACUAAUCAUGACAAUGAAGUAAAAAUAACAAACAUUUACUGAGUGACUACGCCAUGCUCUGUGCCAAGCACUUCAGAUCUGUCACCUCACUGAAUCCUCAAGCCAAUCCCUAAAUGUAGGGAUUCAGGCUCAGAGAGGUGAAGUAACUCCUACAAGGUCACAUAUUUUAUUACGUGGUUGAGCUGGAACUCCAACCCAGGUCUGUGUGGCCCCGCAGUCCCGGCUCCCCGCUACCGCCUCCUUCUUUCCUUUCUUUCAUUACACUGCUCCUUCCCUCCCCGCUCUCUCCUGGCACACAGACUCAGGAGCUGCCCUGGGGAGACAGACACUCACAUCGGUGAUUCUAAUGGAGUGUGAGAAAGGAUGGGAUGUGGGGAAGGAUGAGCCAUCAGGGAAGGCUCUACGGGAAGAUGCGUGCUUGGGCUGAGCCUUAAUCGUGGAAGAGGACACCUCCCUGUUUAGUCUGAGAACUCAGGCUUACCAGUAUGUCCCACUUGUGGAUUCUAUUUGUGGAGGGGAGAAACGGGAAGAGGAGAGCAAUGAGCUGCUAGGCUACAACUAGUAAGAGGCCCCCACCCCUCACCCCACUCCCUUCUCUUCCUUCUACAAACACUGUGUUCACAAAGCACUUACUGGGAGCUGAGGGAUGAAUAUAUAAAGAAAUAAAGUGUGAUACCUGCUCCCAAGGUCUCGAAAUCCAGGCUGGGAGCACAUAUACCCAAUGGCUUGUGCUGUAAGUCAGCAAAAUAGAAAUGGGCUUUGGCAACAUUCAAAUAUGGUGCCGUGUGGGCCUGGAGGGGAGGAGGUGUCUGAGUCUGUUACUGAGGAAUAGACACAGGAAGAAGGUGAGAGAGGGAGAGAUGGCGAGGAGGAGAGCCUUAGAGAAAGAGGGAAUGGAAAAUAAGGUGGCUGCUGGAAGGAUCUUAUGAGGAGUGAGAAGUCUGAUGGGCUUGGGAGCUCAAGAUUGUGGGGUACAUGACUGGUGACAAUUAGUGGCCAGCUUUGGGGUCAAGGGAAAGAUUUUGGACAAAUGUUUGAUAAGGCAUGAUUGGUUCCUGAAGUGGCAUUUUCCCAGUGUUUUGACAAACUUGCUGCUGUUUUCAAGGCCAGCGGCCCAAAGCAUCUGGGAAGCCUUCCCUGUCUGUUCCAUGGUACCAGCCUCCUUGGCUGACGCACCUUAGGCACAGUUAUCGGCUCUUUCUUGGACCACUGCAGUAGCCUAUUCAGCGGUCAUACUGUUUUACUUGGACCCUGCUACGACCCCCCUUUCUCCUCACAGCAGCCAGAGUGAUUGUUUUAACCCGUAAAUCAGAUCACCUCCCUCCUGCCCACCAGGCUUGAUGGAAAUCAGGUCAUUUGAAAAUGACAGCUGAGACACAAGAAUUUCUAGAAGCAAUCUCAGAACAUGAGGUGGUCUAGUCUCCCAUGAUGUCAGGUUCCUUGUUCUUCACCCAUAUUUUUUUUGCCCAUGAUGCACUCUUCUCUUCUCCUCUCCCCAGGUCAAGGCCUCAGGGUGUCCCCUAUCAGAAAUGGUCCUGAGGAAAGAAUCUAAAGAAGCCUGGCCAAGGACAGGGCUCCUGGGACUCCUCCCUGCCAGAGUAUGUGGUUCAGUGUCUGCAGUUAUGGGGAGCAGCAUGCAAACUGAAUCUGGCAAGCAUAGACUUCAGCCUGCUAACCAAGAGUUGGAAAUGCUUCCCUGGUGAUUCAAAUGCAUGGCCAUGGUUGAGAACCACCAGCUCAGCCCGAGGAAUCUAGCCCGAUACUCUCACCAGAAUCAUGAUAUUUGCAUUGGCUUGUAACUGCGUUGACAAUAACUCUUUAGAACUGUGCAUCUAAGGAGUUUCCAUGGCCACCACUGACGCCACGGUCUGCUCUUGAGAGCUCCCCGACUCAUCGUUUGGCUGUCAGGUAUACAUCUUAGUGUACUUUCUUUUUAGGAGGAAACUGCAUGAUGGUAUAUUUUUGGAAUUUUUACAUAUCUGAGAAAGCCUUUGUAUUGUCUUAAAAGUAAACAACACCUUGGUUGGCUGGUGUGUUCUUGUUCUUGAUUCAGAACCUUUCCCUCCCCUGUGUAGCUGCUGCUCUCUCUCCAUCUCGCUCCCUUUUUUUUUUUUUUUAAUUUUUUUAGCUUUUUAGCUGCUUUCUGGAACUUACAUCAUCUUAUGUUAUGGAAAUCUCUGCGGCAAAUCUAACUUGCGUUCCUUUGUAGAGAGCUUUUUUUUCUUUUUCAAUUCCCCGCCUGGACAUUUGUCGAAUUCUUUAUCCUUGUAAUUAAAAACAAAUCAUCAAUAUAUGUCUAUGUGUUGGUUACUUUCAAAUAAUUAUGCAUGCGGAGCCCUUUCCAUCUACUCAUUCAAGUCUUUCUAAAUUCAGGAAAGUUUUCCUCUACUCCGUCCUAUUUUGUCCUUUAUAUUGAUUCGAUUCCUUUUUAAAAAAUGAAUCCCCUUGCACUUCUUCAAGGACUCCCUUUAUCAGUAUGUUGGUUUUUACUCUCUGAGCUCAAACCCAAGGGUCUUUUUUCUGGCCACUUCCAUCUCCUAGUCCUUUUUGCUUCAGCAUCUGGAGAGCAUCUCUAGCUUGUCCUUCACGACUCUGUUGGUAUUUUUAUGGAAUCUAUUUUGCUCCCUGUCAUUUCCAAUGGCAUUAUUUGCUUCCCUUGUUUCUUUCCUUAACCUAUCAUGCCUUUAAAAGCAUCUUCAGUCUGUCAUCUUAUUACCUCCUCUUUUAUCUCAUAUUUUAUUAAGUUUACGGUCUCUUCUAUUUCACUUAAAAUAAAUGCCAUUUAAUAUUUACAUAU